rnacentral:rRNA from 1 species
UGAGGAAUAUUGGUCAAUGGGCGAGAGCCUGAACCAGCCAAGUAGCGUGCAGGAUGACGGCUCUAUGGGUUGUAAACUGCUUUUAUAUGGGAAUAAAGUGAGGGACGUGUCCCUUAUUGCAUGUACCAUAUGAAUAAGGACCGGCUAAUUCCGUGCCAGCAGCCGCGGUAAUACGGAAGGUCCAGGCGUUAUCCGGAUUUAUUGGGUUUAAAGGGAGCGUAGGCUGUUUGUUAAGCGUGUUGUGAAAUGUAAGAGCUCAACUUUUAGAUUGCAGCGCGAACUGGCAGACUUGAGUGCGCACAACGUAGGCGGAAUUCAUGGUGUAGCGAUGAAAUGCUUAGAUAUCAUGACGAACUCCGAUUGCGAAGGCAGCUUACGGGAGCGCAACUGACGCUAAAGCUCGAAGGUGCGGGUAUCGAACAGG